rnacentral:rRNA from 1 species
AUACGAAGGUGGCUAGCGUUGUUCGGAAUUACUGGGCGUAAAGCGCGCGUAGGCGGACUGAUCAGUUGGGGGUGAAAUCCCAGGGCUUAACCCUGGAACUGCCUCCAAUACUGUCAGUCUUGAGUUCGGGAGAGGUGAGUGGAAUUCCUAGUGUAGAGGUGAAAUUCGUAGAUAUUAGGAAGAACACCAGUGGCGAAGGCGGCUCACUGGCCCGAUACUGACGCUGAGGCGCGAAAGCGUGGGGAGCAAACAGGAUUAGAAACCCUAGUAGUCC